GACGAACGCUGGCAGCGUGCUUAACACAUGCAAGUCGAACGGAAAGGCCCUGCUUUUGUGGGGUGCUCGAGUGGCGAACGGGUGAGUAACACGUGAGUAACCUGCCCUUGACUUUGGGAUAACUUCAGGAAACUGGGGCUAAUACCGGAUAGGAGCUCCUGCUGCAUGGUGGGGGUUGGAAAGUUUCGGCGGUUGGGGAUGGACUCGCGGCUUAUCAGCUUGUUGGUGGGGUAGUGGCUUACCAAGGCUUUGACGGGUAGCCGGCCUGAGAGGGUGACCGGCCACAUUGGGACUGAGAUACGGCCCAGACUCCUACGGGAGGCAGCAGUGGGGAAUAUUGCACAAUGGGCGGAAGCCUGAUGCAGCAACGCCGCGUGCGGGAUGACGGCCUUCGGGUUGUAAACCGCUUUCGCCUGUGACGAAGCGUGAGUGACGGUAAUGGGUAAAGAAGCACCGGCUAGCUACGUG
rnacentral:rRNA from 1 species